AAGCAAGUAGGUCAAAAUAGGUCAUUAGGAUGAGCCCUACUCCGGUAUGACUAGUGUCCACAGAAGAGGAGAUUAGGACCCUGACAACACAGCAAGAGGACCACGAGAAGGACACAGGGAGAAGGCAGCCCACUACCAGUCAAGGAGAGAGACCUCAGAAGAAACCAAACCUGCUAACACCUUGCUCUUGGACGUCUAGCCUCCAGAAUUGUGAGAAAACAAAUUGCUGUUGUUUAAGCCACUGGUCUGUGGUAUCUUGUUAUAACAGCCUGAGCACAUCAAUACAUACGUCGUCUAUCCUUUCCAGUAUCCAACAGUGAAAGCUCCCUAGAAAUUCUCUUCUGGCCCCAAGAGGAAAAGCAAAGGAACCAGAAAAUCCUGGACAAGUGAUAGCUGCUUUAAUGGCUCUGACUCUUGAUUUUGAAGAAGUGCUGAUCCUUUUGUGAGACAAGCGUUUGACUCGGACUCUAAGUGCAACAGUUCACAGAUACUUAAUUGGGCAUCUAGGACACCACCAGAAACAAGUUCCGUAUCUUUGGGAAGCCUCAUGCAUUGUAAAGAACACAGGCUUGGAGUCAACUUGGCAGCACUGGCCUGGUACAUAACAGAUAUGCAAGAGCAGUUCCUUAGCUGAAUGAUCCAGCAGAGGAAAAGCCAAAGCACACCUCGGUGUCUUGGGACCCUCAGUCUCCUCCCUUGAGCUAGGUGUUACACGGAAAUCCAGUGACCUCAACAUAAACAAUUGUGCAUAAUCAAUUGCAAGCUGUAGCCUGUUCUGGAUAGGAAAUUAGACCCAUUCCAAAGUCAAUGGGGGAAAACAAGACACUCCAAGCAAGAUGACCAUGGGACUGCAUGGAGCCUUCUAUAAUUAGGAACUUUUCUGUUGCAUUGUGUUCCAGUGUUGAAGUGGAAUGGGAGGUGGCAGGACACUUAACCAAAAGGAGCAAGAAGGUAUCUGGUCUAUUCCCAUUUUCCUGCCCCACUUGUCCAAAGUCAGAGUCCAGGGCACACUCUGACUCGGCCCUCUCCCCUUCCUGAAGACAAUCUUAUUCCUCAAAAGGAGUCAUGGCCUGCUUUGAUCCUAACCUGGCCCCCAAGGCAACCUCAGUUUCUAUAGGUUCUUGAUGACCCAGUUCUUUGGAACUAACCCCAAAGUGAUAUGCUGACUCUAUCUUUCUGAACAAGGUCCAUGGACUGACCCAUAUUCUGCAAAGAAUGAAAGAGAUUUCAAAUUAGACCUGCAUCAUAGUAUUGGAGAUGCCCCAACAAAUUAGAAGGCCAGGAAGCGUGAAGCAUUAGACUGGGGUACAGAAAAUCCCAGCACUGCACACAGCAUAUUCAAAAUCAAGAACAAGAGAACUCUACUGGAGAGUAAAAUCUAGGGCCCGAAUGUGAUUAUAUGCCUGGUGAUGAUGGUAACAAUGAAAAAGAACAUAGCACCAGAAAAAAAGCAUUCCUAAUGAGACCAAUUCUUAACACUGGUUAAACUAUAAAAUGGGAGAAGACAAGUUUUAUUUUUCCUAUAAAAUCCACACUAAAGUAAUCAUUGAAAUACUAAAUGUAACCCAAUGUCCAUGAAACUAUGGCCACUCACCAAAAAAAUACAACAGAACUCAUAUGUAUCUUAAUAUGAUCAAAUUUAUUGUAAUUGAAUUAAGUGACAAUACUAAGCUGAACUGCUCAGUCUUCUUAGCUUGUGACUCAUGGUGGUCAAAUUGUACCUAAAGUAAUAAAACACAACAGUGGCUAAGAAACCUUGAUACUAUUUCAUUUGUCUAAAUCCAACUCCAUAUCCAUACCCCCAGAUAUUAUAUAAAAUGUACAUUGCUUUAUUUUAAAUCUCCAUCAUUUUAUGACUUGUUACUAUGUUCAUAUUUUAAAAUAAAAUAAAAUAAAAUGUAUUGCCUGAGAAUUUUUGAGGGGUUAUAAUUUUCUUUGGUAUGGGCAUUGUAAUGUAGUA